GACGAACGCUGGCGGCGUGCCUAAUACAUGCAAGUCGAGCGCAGGAAGCCGACGGAACCCUUCGGGGGGAAGUCGACGGAAUGAGCGGCGGACGGGUGAGUAACACGUAAAGAACCUGCCCUCAGGUCUGGGAUAACCACGAGAAAUCGGGGCUAAUACCGGAUGGGUCAUCGGACCGCAUGGUCCGAGGAUGAAAGGCGCUUCGGCGUCGCCUGGGGAUGGCUUUGCGGUGCAUUAGCUAGUUGGUGGGGUAAUGGCCCACCAAGGCGACGAUGCAUAGCCGACCUGAGAGGGUGAUCGGCCACACUGGGCCUGAGACACGGCCCAGACUCCUACGGGAGGCAACAGUAGGGAAUCUUCCACAAUGGACGAAAGUCUGAUGGAGCAACGCCGCGUGAACGAUGAAGGCCUUCGGGUCGUAAAGUUCUGUUGUAAGGGAAGAACAAGUGCCGCAGGCAAUGGCGGCACCUUGACGGUACCUUGCGAGAAAGCCACGGCUAACUACGUGCCAGCAGCCGCAGUAACAC
rnacentral:rRNA from 1 species